GAUGAACGCUAGCUACAGGCUUAACACAUGCAAGUCGAGGGGCAGCAUGGUCUUAGCUUGCUAAGGCCGAUGGCGACCGGCGCACGGGUGAGUAACACGUAUCCAACCUGCCGUCUACUCUUGGACAGCCUUCUGAAAGGAAGAUUAAUACAAGAUGGCAUCAUGAGUCCGCAUGUUCACAUGAUUAAAGGUAUUCCGGUAGACGAUGGGGAUGCGUUCCAUUAGAUAGUAGGCGGGUAACGGCCCACCUAGUCUUCGAUGGAUAGGGGUUCUGAGAGGAAGGUCCCCCACAUUGGAACUGAGACACGGUCCAAACUCCUACGGGAGGCAGCAGUGAGGAAUAUUGGUCAAUGGGCGAGAGCCUGAACCAGCCAAGUAGCGUGAAGGAUGACUGCCCUAUGGGUUGUAAACUUCUUUUAUAAAGGAAUAAAGUCGGGUAUGGAUACCCGUUGCAUGUACUUUAUGAAUAAGGAUCGGCUAAC
rnacentral:rRNA from 1 species